GGAUUACCUCAGUAACGGCGAGUGAAGCGGUAACAGCUCAAAUUUGAAAUCUGGCCUCACGGUCCGAGUUGUAAUUUGUAGAGGAUGCUUCGAGCAUGGUCUGGCCUAAGUUCCUUGGAACAGGACGUCAUAGAGGGUGAGAAUCCCGUAUGCGGCCAGGUGCCUACGCUCAUGUGAAGCUCCUUCGACGAGUCGAGUUGUUUGGGAAUGCAGCUCAAAAUGGGUGGUAAAUUUCAUCUAAAGCUAAAUAUUGGCCAGAGACCGAUAGCGCACAAGUAGAGUGAUCGAAAGAUGAAAAGCACUUUGGAAAGAGAGUUAAACAGUACGUGAAAUUGUUGAAAGGGAAGCGCUUGCAACCAGACUUGCGCGCGGCCGAUCAUCCGGUGUUCUCACCGGUGCACUCGGCCGUGCUCAGGCCAGCAUCGGUUUUGGCGGCUGGAUAAAGGCCCUAGGAAUGUAGCUCCUCUCGGGGAGUGUUAUAGCCUAGGGUGCAAUGCAGCCUGCUGGGACCGAGGACCGCGCUUCGGCUAGGAUGCUGGCGUAAUGGUUGUAAGCGGCCCGUCUUGAAACACGGACCAAGGAGUCUAACAUCUAUGCGAGUGUUUGGGUGUCAAACCCAUACGCGUAAUGAAAGUGAACGGAGGUGAGAACCCUUAAGGGUGCAUCAUCGACCGAUCCUGAUGUCUUCGGAAGGAUUUGAGUAAGAGCAUAGCUGUUGGGACCCGAAAGAUGGUGAACUAUGCCUGAAUAGGGUGAAGCCAGAGGAAA
rnacentral:rRNA from 1 species